AUUUUGGGCAAUGGGCGAAAGCCUGACCCAGCAACGCCGCGUGAGGGAUGAAGUAUUUCGGUAUGUAAACCUCGAAAGAAUAGGAAGAAUAAAUGACGGUACUAUUUAUAAGCUCCGGCUAACUACGUGCCAGCAGCCGCGGUAAUACGUAGGGAGCAAGCGUUGUUCGGAUUUACUGGGCGUAAAGGGCGCGUAGGCGGUAUAUUAAGUCAGCUGUGAAAUCUCCGAGCUUAACUCGGAACUGUCAGCUGAUACUGAUGUGCUAGAGUGCAGAAGGGGCAAUCGGAAUUCUUGGUGUAGCGGUGAAAUGCGUAGAUAUCAAGAGGAACACCUGAGGUGAAGACGGGUUGCUGGGCUGACACUGACGCUGAGGCGCGAAAGCCAGGGGAGCAAACGGG
rnacentral:rRNA from 1 species